GUGCUCGUUUUGGCACCACAUAUACUAAAAUUGGAACGAUACAGAAGUUAGCAUGGCCCCUGUGCAAGGAUGACAUGGAAAUUCAUUAAGCAUGCCAUGUUUUU